rnacentral:rRNA from 1 species
AACGAACGCUGGCGGCAGGCCUAACACAUGCAAGUCGAACGCCCCGCAAGGGGAGUGGCAGACGGGUGAGUAACACGUGGGAACCUUCCCUAUAGUACGGAAUAGCCCAGGGAAACUUGGAGUAAUACCGUAUACGCCCGAAAGGGGAGAGAAUUUCGCUAUAGGAUGGGCCCGCGUAGGAUUAGCUAGUUGGUGAGGUAAUGGCUCACCAAGGCGACGAUCCUUAGCUGGUUUGAGAGAACGACCAGCCACACUGGGACUGAGACACGGCCCAGACUCCUACGGGAGGCAGCAGUGGGGAAUAUUGGACAAUGGGCGCAAGCCUGAUCCAGCCAUGCCGCGUGAGUGAUGAAGGCCUUAGGGUUGUAAAGCUCUUUUGGCGGGGACGAUAAUGACGGUACCCGCAGAAUAAGUCCCGGCUAACUUCGUG